rnacentral:rRNA from 1 species
UGGGGAAUCUUGCGCAAUGGGCGAAAGCCUGACGCAGCGACGCCGCGUGCGGGAAGAAGGCCUUCGGGUUGUAAACCGCUUUCAGGAGGGAAGAAGCGAAAGUGACGGUACCUCCAGAAGAAGCCCCGGCCAACUACGUGCCAGCAGCCGCGGUAAUACGUAGGGGGCGAGCGUUGUCCGGAAUUAUUGGGCGUAAAGAGCUCGUAGGCGGCCCGCUAAGUCGGGUGUGAAAUCUCAGGGCCCAACCCUGAAACUGCACCUGAUACUGGCGGGCUUGAGGCAGGUAGGGGAGGGUGGAAUUCCUGGUGUAGCGGUGAAAUGCGCAGAUAUCAGGAGGAACACCGAUGGCGAAGGCAGCCCUCUGGGCCUGUACUGACGCUGAGGAGCGAAAGCGUGGGGAGCGAACAGGAUUAGAUACCCCCGUAGUCC